GGGGGGGGGGGGGGGGGGGGGGGGGGGAUGCGGGUCGGGGGGGGGCAGGGGGCGGGUUGCUGCGUGGCUGACGAGGGGCGGGCGGGGGCGUAAUGGCUGGGAAGCGGCCUGAGGGAGGGGGCUGACUACUGGAAACGGUAGCGAAUACCGCAUCAUUUCGCAAGACAAAAGAGGGGGACCUUCGGGCCUCUUGCCAUCGGAUGUGCCCAGGUGGGCUUAGCUGGUUGGUGGGGUAACGUCUCACCACGGCGACGAUCCCUAGCUGGGCUGAGAGGUUGACCGGCCACACUGGAAGUGGGACACGGUCCAGACUCCGACGGGAGGCAGCAGUGGGGAAUAUUGCGCAAUGGGCGCAAGCCUGAUGCAGCCAUGCCGCGUGUAUGAAGAAGGCCUUCGGGUUGUAAAGUACUUUCAGCGGGGAGGAAGGGAGUAAAGUUAAUACCUUUGCUCAUUGACGUUACCCGCAGAAGAAGCACCGGCUAACUCCGUG
rnacentral:rRNA from 1 species